rnacentral:rRNA from 1 species
UACGUAGGGGGCAAGCGUUGUCCGGAUUCAUUGGGCGUAAAGAGCGUGUAGGCGGCCAGGUAGGUCGGUUGUGAAAACUGGAGGCUCAACCUUCAGAGGUCGACCGAAACCAUCUGGCUAGAGUCCGGGAGAGGAGAGUGGAAUUCCUGGUGUAGCGGUGAAAUGCGCAGAUAUCAGGAGGAACACCCAUAGCGAAGGCAGCUUGCUGGGACGUUACUGACGCUAAGGCGCGAAAGCGUGGGGAGCGAACAGG